GACCGUGUAGCUCAGUUGGCAGAGCAUUGGGCUAGUAUUCCAAAGGUCGUAGCCUCGUAGGUUCGAUUCCCACCGUGGCCA